rnacentral:rRNA from 1 species
CAAUAGCGUAUAUUAAAGUUGCUGCAGUUAAAAAGCUCGUAGUUGGAUUUCUGGUCUGCAACUUUUGGCCGGCCACGGUUUCGUGUGUCAGUGCUGCAUAGUUCUGGCCAUCCUUUCAAAUGAAUUGUAGUUGUCUUCAUUGAUAGCUGCAGUUUUUUUGAAUCUUUUACUUUGAACAAAUUAGAGUGUUUCAAGCAGGCUUUAUGCUAUGAAUACAUUAGCAUGGAAUAAUAAUUUAGGACUUCGGUUCUAUUUUGUUUGGUUUCUAGGACUGAAGUAAUGAUUGAUAGGGAUAGUUGGGGGUUGGCUAGUAUUCAGCGGCCAGAGGUGAAAUUCUCGGAUUCGCUGAAGACUAACUUAUGCGAAAGCAUUCAUCAAGGAUGUCUUCUUUAAUUCAAGAACGAAAGUUAGGGGAGUCGAAGAUGAUCAGAUACCAU